rnacentral:tRNA from 1 species
AGUUAUUUGGCUGAAAGGAAGGCGCUUGUCUUGAAAAUAAGAUAUAGGGGUUCAAGUCCUCUAAUAAUUU